UACAUGGGGUGCAAACGUUGCUCGGAAUCAUUGGGCGUAAAGCGCACGUAGGCGGUUCGUUAUGUCGGAUGUGAAAGCCCUCGGCUUAACCGGGGAAGUGCAUCCGAAACUGGCGAGCUUGAGUACUAAAGAGGGUCGCGGAAUUCCCGGUGUAGAGGUGAAAUUCGUAGAUAUCGGGAGGAACACCAGCGGCGAAGGCGGCGACCUGGGUAGAUACGUGACGCUGAGGUGCGAAAGCGUGGGGAGCAAACAGG
rnacentral:rRNA from 1 species